rnacentral:rRNA from 1 species
UACGAAGGGGGCUAGCGUUGUUCGGAAUUACUGGGCGUAAAGCGCGCGCAGGCGGCCUUCCAAGUCAGUGGUGAAAGCCCGGAGCUCAACUCCGGAACUGCCAUUGAAACUGUGAGACUUGAGUACGAGAGAGGUGAGUGGAAUUCCCAGUGUAGAGGUGAAAUUCGUAGAUAUUGGGAAGAACACCGGUGGCGAAGGCGGCUCACUGGCUCGUAACUGACGCUCAGGCGCGACAGCGUGGGGAUCAAACAGG